GAAAUUGAUUGUUGUUUACAAGGCUUUGGAACUAGGCUAGUUCCUCGUGGCCUUUGCUUCACUGUUAUCUAUCACACAAUGACAAGACACCACAUGGACUUCCUCAUAGGGAAGCUUACAAUAUGGCACCUCACUUUCAUUAUGGAGAGCAAGCAAGAGAGUAAGAGAAGAUAUAAUAACCUAUUUCUGAAGUAAUACGGAUAAUUCUGUGACAAAUCCACUUCAGCCUUGGUAAUGCCCUUCGUUUUGACUUCAAAACAUUCACUGGCUCUCAUGGAUUUGUACUAUUUAACACCCAGAUAAAGGUCACGGACUUGGGAAAUGACCUAAGCAGGAGCUGAAUUCCAUCCCUGGUCUGUUUGGCUCCCAAGCCAUGCUCUUAACCUCUAUAUUCUAGUACUUCCGGAGAAAAGUCAUGAGAAUGAGCAGGGCAUAUGUGAAGAUAGCCUGACUGAAGAAGAAGAGUUCAUGUUGAGUGUGGAGGAAAACAAAGGUCAACAGGCAGAUUGGGACCAAGUUAGAGAGUGCCUGGAAACUCACGAAAAAUUAGAUUUGAUGUAAUAAGAAAUGAGACUUCCUUAUAGAAUUUUUGAACUGGAAGAAGGAUGAUAAAUGGAAGUAUUCAAAGACGUUUCUUUUAUGGCAGGAAGAUUUGGAGAGAGUACAUGAUGACAAUAAGGGUACAGUUGGGAAACUAAUCUAAUGGUUCAAGUAUGAAAUGAUGAAGACCUAAUCUGGAGUGGUCAAUGUGAUCAUGAGUCAAAAGAACGAAUCAACAUAAUUUUGUAACUAAUUAGAUGCAAGGACUGAAGCAGACGAAGGAUGAGUCAAAGAUGACUGGAUAGUUUCAAGCCUGGGGACUGAAGAGGUGGCGCCACGAAGAGUUAAAACGAGGAAAGAACAUGCGGUGGGAGGGCAUGAGUUUAUGUUUAGAAAGGCAGAAGAUACUACCAAUGCCUAAUCCUCCUUCAAAUAACAACUUUUUUCAUUCUUCAUAUACGCCUGUGAUAAUCCAUGUAGGAAAAAUGAUAAAAGACCACAUUGAUGUUUUCUAAAUAUGAAGAAAAUAAAGGACAAUUAAAAUCAGUAAGUUUAUCAUCAUCAACAGCAAAAAACACACAUAUAUAAUUGGCCUAACCAGAAAUGAGGCCUGGCCAACCAUCUCUGCAUGUGUUUGGUUGCCUGUACAUGCUUGCUUUUGUGGUUGAAACUCAAGUGCUUCCUCCCACACAAUGGAACAGAAAAUACUUUCAUUUCCUGAAAAGAUUGUUGCUGCAUCAUC
ensembl:lncRNA novel transcript